rnacentral:rRNA from 1 species
UACGGGGGGGGCAAGCGUUGUUCGGAAUUACUGGGCGUAAAGGGCUCGUAGGCGGCCAACUAAGUCAGACGUGAAAUCCCCAGGCUUAACCUGGGAACUGCGUCUGAUACUGGAUGGCUUGAAUUCGGGAGAGGGAUGCAGAAUUCCACGUGUAGCGGUGAAAUGCGUAGAGAUGUGGAGGAACACCAGUGGCGAAGGCGACUCUUUGGCCUGUAACUGACGCUGAGGCGCGAAAGCGUGGGGAGCAAACAGG